AGGCAUGCGGCAUCUACCAUGCAGUCGACGAUGAUGCCCAGCUUGCUGGGUGGAUUAGUGGCGAACGGGUGAGUAACACGUGAGUAACCUGCCCCUGACUCUGGGAUAAGCGUUGGAAACGACGUCUAAUACUGGAUAUGACUGCCGGCCGCAUGGUCUGGUGGUGGAAAGAUUUUUUGGUUGGGGAUGGACUCGCGGCCUAUCAGCUUGUUGGUGAGGUAAUGGCUCACCAAGGCGACGACGGGUAGCCGGCCUGAGAGGGUGACCGGCCACACUGGGACUGAGACACGGCCCAGACUCCUACGGGAGGCAGCAGUGGGGAAUAUUGCACAAUGGGCGAAAGCCUGAUGCAGCAACGCCGCGUGAGGGAUGACGGCCUUCGGGUUGUAAACCUCUUUUAGUAGGGAAGAAGCGAAAGUGACGGUACCUGCAGAAAAAGCACCGGCUAACUACGUGCCAGCAGCCGCGGUAAUACGUAGGGUGCAAGCGUUGUCCGGAAUUAUUGGGCGUAAAGAGCUCGUAGGCGGUUUGUCGCGUCUGCUGUGAAAUCCCGAGGCUCAACCUCGGGCUUGCAGUGGGUACGGGCAGACUAGAGUGCGGUAGGGGAGAUUGGAAUUCCUGGUGUAGCGGUGGAAUGCGCAGAUAUCAGGAGGAACACCGAUGGCGAAGGCAGAUCUCUGGGCCGUAACUGACGCUGAGGAGCGAAAGCAUGGGGAGCGAACAGGAUUAGAUACCCUGGUAGUCCAUGCCGUAAACGUUGGGCGCUAGAUGUAGGGACCUUUCCACGGUUUCUGUGUCGUAGCUAACGCAUUAAGCGCCCCGCCUGGGGAGUACGGCCGCAAGGCUAAAACUCAAAGGAAUUGACGGGGGCCCGCACAAGCGGCGGAGCAUGCGGAUUAAUUCGAUGCAACGCGAAGAACCUUACCAAGGCUUGACAUACACCGGAAACGGCCAGAGAUGGUCGCCCCCUUGUGGUCGGUGUACAGGUGGUGCAUGGUUGUCGUCAGCUCGUGUCGUGAGAUGUUGGGGUUAAGUCCCGCAACGAGCGCAACCCUCGUUCUAUGUUUGCCAGCGCGUUAUGGGCGGGGACUCAUAGGAGACUGCCCGGGGUCAACUCGGAGGAAGGUGGGGAUGACGUCAAUCAUCAUGCCCCCUUAUGUCUUGGGG
rnacentral:rRNA from 1 species